UACUCAGAACAACUGGGAAAAAAAUUUGGGGAUUAUAGCAGUAGCAAACCAACUUUCAUCCUCUGAAAACCUGAAACAUACAAGGUUCUAAAAACCUGAGAAUGGAAACCUGUAUCUGAAAAAUUGACAACCUGCCCUGGAAACCUGAAAACCUGUAACUGCUUUCCCCUUCGCUUCGUUUGGGCAUGGAUUCAAGCUUUCUCGGCUUGAUACAUCCCAACCCCC
rnacentral:lncRNA from 1 species